rnacentral:rRNA from 1 species
ACGAACGCUGGCGGCGUGCCUAAUACAUGCAAGUUGAGCGCUGAAGGUUGGUACUUGUACCAACUGGAUGAGCAGCGAACGGGUGAGUAACGCGUGGGGAAUCUGCCUUUGAGCGGGGGACAACAUUUGGAAACGAAUGCUAAUACCGCAUAAAAACUUUAAACACAAGUUUUAAGUUUGAAAGAUGCAAUUGCAUCACUCAAAGAUGAUCCCGCGUUGUAUUAGCUAGUUGGUGAGGUAAAGGCUCACCAAGGCGACGAUACAUAGCCGACCUGAGAGGGUGAUCGGCCACAUUGGGACUGAGACACGGCCCAAACUCCUACGGGAGGCAGCAGUAGGGAAUCUUCGGCAAUGGACGAAAGUCUGACCGAGCAACGCCGCGUGAGUGAAGAAGGUUUUCGGAUCGUAAAACUCUGUUGGUAGAGAAGAACGUUGGUGAGAGUGGAAAGCUCAUCAAGUGACGGUAACUACCCAGAAAGGGACGGCUAACUACGUG